rnacentral:rRNA from 1 species
GACGAACGCUGGCGGCAGGCCUAACACAUGCAAGUCGAGCGGACCUUUCGGGGUCAGCGGCGGACGGGUGAGUAACGCGUGGGAAUAUGCCCUUCUCUACGGAAUAGUCCUGGGAAACUGGGGGUAAUACCGUAUACGCCCUUUGGGGGAAAGAUUUAUCGGGGAAGGAUUAGCCCGCGUUGGAUUAGGUAGUUGGUGGGGUAAUGGCCUACCAAGCCGACGAUCCAUAGCUGGUUUGAGAGGAUGAUCAGCCACACUGGGACUGAGACACGGCCCAGACUCCUACGGGAGGCAGCAGUGGGGAAUCUUAGACAAUGGGGGCAACCCUGAUCGAGCCAUGCCGCGUGAGUGAUGAAGGCCUUAGGGUUGUAAAGCUCUUUCAGCUGGGAAGAUAUUGACGGUACCAGCAGAAGAAGCCCCGGCUAACUCCGUG